GAUGAAGAACGUAGCGAAAUGCGAUAAGUAAUGUGAAUUGCAGAAUUCAGUGAACCAUCGAAUCUUUGAACGCACAUUGCGCCCGCCAGCAUUCAGGCGGGCAUGCCUGUUCGAGCGUCAUUUCAACCCUCGACCUCCCUUUGGGGAAGUCGGCGUUGGGGACCGGCAGCACACCGCCGGCCCUGAAAUGGAGUGGCGGCCCGUCCGCGGCGACCUCUGCGUAGUAAUCCAACUCGCACCGGAACCCCGACGCGGCCACGCCGUAAAACACCCAACUUCUGAACGUUGACCUCGAAUCAGGUAGGACUACCCGCUGAACUUAAGCAUAUCAAUAAGCGGAGGA
rnacentral:misc_RNA from 1 species